ACCGUAAACGAUGGGUGCUAGUUGUUAAGAGGUUUCCGCCUCCUAGUGACGUAGCAAACGCAUUAAGCACCCCGCCUGAGGAGUACGGCCGCAAGGCUAAAACUUAAAGGAAUUGACGGGGACCCGCACAAGCGGUGGAGCAUGUGGUUUAAUUCGAAGAUACGCGAAAAACCUUACCAGGUCUUGACAUACCAAUGAUCGCUUUUGUAAUGAAAGCUUUUCUUCGGAACAUUGGAUACAGGUGGUGCAUGGUCGUCGUCAGCUCGUGUCGUGAGAUGUUGGGUUAAGUCCCGCAACGAGCGCAACCCUUGUUAUUAGUUGCCAGCAUUUAGUUGGGCACUCUAAUGAGACUGCCGGUGAUAAACCGGAGGAAGGUGGGGACGACGUCAGAUCAUCAUGCCCCUUAUGACCUGGGCAACACACGUGCUACAAUGGGAAGUACAACGAGUCGCAAACCGGCGACGGUAAGCUAAUCUCUUAAAACUUCUCUCAGUUCGGACUGGAGUCUGCAACUCGACUCCACGAAGGCGGAAUCGCUAGUAAUCGCGAAUCAGCAUGUCGCGGUGAAUACGUUCCCGGGUCUUGUACACACCGCCCGUCAAAUCAUGGGAGUCGGAAGUACCCAAAGUCGCUUGGCUAACUUUUAGAGGCCGGUGCCUAAGGUAAAAUCGAUGACUGGGAUUAAGUCGUAACAAGGUAGCCGUAGGAAUCUGG
rnacentral:rRNA from 1 species